ensembl:lncRNA
GUCGAGGUUCUAACGAUGAGGUUCUAACAAUGAGGUUAUAGCGAUGAGGUUCUAACAAGUUAUAGCGAUGAGGUUCUAACAAUGAGGUUAUAGCGAUGAGGUUCUGACGAGGUUCUAGUGAUGAGGUUCUAACCAUGAGAAUAUAGCGAUGAGGUUCUGACUAGGUUCUAGUGAUGAGGUUCUAACCAUGAGGUUCUUACAAGGUCCUUCUCCAACUCCGAUGUCCUUCUCCAACGACGUCGUUUCGGCAAUGUGUUGACGUGAUGUGGUUCUCGGGACGGGUUCCACCCCGGGGUCCCGGCGGAGGG